GAGUAACUGUUCAGGUAUGACGGUAUUUAACCAGAAAGCCACGGCUAACUACGUGCCAGCAGCCGCGGUAAUACGUAGGUGGCAAGCGUUGUCCGGAUUUAUUGGGCGUAAAGCGAGCGCAGGCGGUUUUUUAAGUCUGAUGUGAAAGCCUUUCGGCUCAACCGAAGAAGUGCAUCGGAAACUGGGAAACUUGAGUGCAGAAGAGGACAGUGGAACUCCAUGUGUAGCGGUGAAAUGCGUAGAUAUAUGGAAGAACACCAGUGGCGAAGGCGGCUGUCUGGUCUGUAACUGACGCUGAGGCUCGAAAGUAUGGGUAGCAAACAGGAUUAGAUACCCUGGUAGUCCAUACCGUAAACGAUGAAUGCUAAGUGUUGGAGGGUUUCCGCCCUUCAGUGCUGCAGCUAACGCAUUAAGCAUUCCGCCUGGGGAGUACGGCCGCAAGGCUGAAACUCAAAGGAAUUGACGGGGGCCCGCACAAGCGGUGGAGCAUGUGGUUUAAUUCGAAGCUACGCGAAGAACCUUACCAGGUCUUGACAUACUAUGCAAAUCUAAGAGAUUAGACGUUCCCUUCGGGGACAUGGAUACAGGUGGUGCAUGGUUGUCGUCAGCUCGUGUCGUGAGAUGUUGGGUUAAGUCCCGCAACGAGCGCAACCCUUAUUAUCAGUUGCCAGCAUUAAGUUGGGCACUCUGGUGAGACUGCCGGUGACAAACCGGAGGAAGGUGGGGAUGACGUCAAAUCAUCAUGCCCCUUAUGACCUGGGCUACACACGUGCUACAAUGGAUGGUACAACGAGUUGCGAACUCGCGAGAGUAAGCUAAUCUCUUAAAGCCAUUCUCAGUUCGGAUUGUAGGCUGCAACUCGCCUACAUGAAGUCGGAAUCGCUAGUAAUCGCGGAUCAGCAUGCCGCGGUGAAUACGUUCCCGGGCCUUGUACACACCGCCCGUCACACCAUGAGAGUUUGUAACACCCAAAGUCGGUGGGGUAACCUUUUAGGAACCAGCCGC
rnacentral:rRNA from 2 species